GAUGAACGCUGGCGGCGUGCCUAAUACAUGCAAGCCGAGCGGUAAGGCCCUUCGGGGUACACGAGUGGCGAACGGGUGAGUAACACGUGGGUGAUCUGCCCUGCACUUCGGGAUAAGCCUGGGAAACUGGGUCUAAUACCGGAUAGGACCCUGGGAUGCAUGUCCUGGGGUGGAAAGCUUUUGCGGUGUGGGAUGGGCCCGCGGCCUAUCAGCUUGUUGGUGGGGUGAUGGCCUACCAAGGCGACGACGGGUAGCCGGCCUGAGAGGGUGACCGGCCACACUGGGACUGGGAUACGGCCCAGACUCCUACGGGAGGCAGCAGUGGGGAAUAUUGCACAAUGGGCGCAAGCCUGAUGCAGCGACGCCGCGUGAGGGAUGACGGCCUUCGGGUUGUAAACCUCUUUCAGCACCGACGAAGCGCAAGUGACGGUAGGUGCAGAAGAAGGACCGGCCAACUACGUGCCAGCCGCCGCCGUAA
rnacentral:rRNA from 1 species